GUGCCAGCCGCCGCGGUAAAACGUAGGAGGCGAGCGUUAUCCGGAUUUACUGGGCGCAAAGCGCGUGUAGGCGGUUUGGAAAGUUGGAUGUGAAAGCUCCUGGCUUAACUAGGAGAGGUCGUUCAAAACUACCAGACUAGAGUAUGGGAGAGGGAGGCGGGAUUCCGGGUGGCGUGGUGAAAUGCGUAGAUAUCCCGAGGAACACCAGUGGCGAAAGCGGCCUCCUGGCCCAAAACUGACGCUA
rnacentral:rRNA from 1 species